rnacentral:rRNA from 1 species
AUUGACCGCUGGCGGCAGGCCUAACACAUGCAAGUCGAGCUGAGAGGCGGACGGGUGAGUAAUGCCUAGGAAUCUGCCUGGUAGUGGGGGAUAACGUCCGGAAACGUGCGCUAAUACCGCAUACUAUAAGAUGAUCCUAGGUCGGAUUAGCUAGUUUGUGGGGUAAAGGCCUACCAAGGCGACGAUCCGUAACUGGUCUGAGAGGAUGAUCAGUCACACUGGAACUGAGACACGGUCCAGACUCCUACGGGAGGCAGCAGUGGGGAAUAUUGGACAAUGGGCGAAAGCCUGAGCCAGCCAUGCGGCGUGUGUGAAGAAGGUCUUCGGAUUGUAAAGCACUUUAAGUUGGGAGGCGUUACCAACAGAAGAAGCACCGGCUAACUUCGUGCCAGCAGCCGCGGUAAUAC